AACUACAUAUACGGACGCCGCCCCCUACUCUAAUACAUAACCUCAGGGCAAGAUGAUCGAGAGAUCUGAUUCGCUGCUUUUGUAAGUUGUUUUCCUUUUGUUGUUUGAUUAUACAAUGAUCAUCUCUGAAAGUUGUUUUCCUUUUGUUGUUUUAUUAUAUUUGAAUUGUGUGUUAGCCAUCAGUCCGCUCACUGUAUACAUCGAUCUCUCAUCUCCCUAUGUGGAUCGGAUCAUAACAUGUUGAUUGUUCAUAGCAAUUUUUGUGCACCUGUCACAAAUUUUUCGCCCUCUCUCGAAGCACAGCGAUCCUAAAGGUUGUGAAUAUUUGGAAAAUUUCUGUUGAUGAUUAUGGAGAGCAGUCUUUUGAUGGCAGUAAUUGAGGCACAAACAAACUCUGUCACACAUCCAUUUGAAGGCAGUAAUCGAGGAACAAACAAACUUGUCUGGCAAAGUUUGCAAAACAUGCAUCUAGUGGCUCAGACGUGCCCAACUGGAGGAUCAGGGUUUGGGUUCUUAAUUGCAAUGACGGGAAGAUAAAUUUUGUUGAAACAAGGUGCCGUAUGAAACAAGGUGCGUCGCUUUGAACUUAGGUCAAGGGAUGCACGCAGGUUUUACCAUGAUGCAGCUGCAAGGGAAAACCGAACUUGCAAUGAUAUGUUACCUGGCAGGUGGACAUGUGAAGUCAGUGAGAAGAGGAGCUCAAGUCCAUACCCCGAUUGCCUCAAGAAUAUGUAGGGCGAAGAUUGCACACACUGAGCAUAGUGAUUUCUAUGCAAAUGCUCCUAAUUAACUAGGCAUCUAUCAUUUACGUGUUCUAGGUCCACUUUUUUUAUGGUGGUGUUUUCUCAUUAACCAGAAUAUUGGUUGUUACAUGGAAGUUUACUUCUUCAUUCAAAAAGAGCCUUUAACAACCAUGUUGAUUGCUGUGUUGAUUAUUCAACCUUGGAGUUCUAAUUGUAACAUGUUGAUUGAUCAUAAUGUUUUAAUUUUUGUUUUCACUUUAAUUUGGGUACUAGUAAGAUGUAUUGAUAACAAAUAGAAUAUUUUUUUAUUGAUGCUCUGA